rnacentral:rRNA from 1 species
UACGUAGGUGACAAGCGUUGUCCGGAUUUACUGGGCGUAAAGAGCGCGCAGGCGGUCGAUCAAGUCGAGUGUGAAAGCCCCCGGCUCAACUGGGGAGGGUCAUUCGAUACUGAUCGACUCGAAGGCAGGAGAGGGUAGUGGAAUUCCCGGUGUAGUGGUGAAAUGCGUAGAUAUCGGGAGGAACACCAGUGGCGAAGGCGACUACCUGGCCUGCUCUUGACGCUGAGGCGCGAAAGCUAGGGGAGCGAACAGG